UGGUGGUUCAAUCGUUUUUUGAUCAUGACAGGGCGGUCAACCAUGAUGGGCACACUAUGUCCUUGCUAACCAUUCAGGUCACAGAGCUGGUAGAUGGCAUUUUUAUAGGGCUUUCCAUGAAUCACUGUCUUGGUGAUGGAACCUCUUACUGGCAUUUCUUCAACAUUUGGUCUGAGAUCUUUCAAGCACAAGCACAAGGAGAUCAUAAUAAUUUUGUACCCAAAAUCUCAAGACCACCAGUCCUCAAGCGCUGGUUUCCAGAUGGUCAUGGCCCAAUUAUCAAUCUCCCUUUCAAACACUCGGAUGAGUUCAUUGGCAGAUAUGAAGCUCCCAAACUCAGGGAGAGAAUGUUUCACUUCUCCUCGGAAUCCAUAGCCAAACUCAAAGCAAAGGCCAAUGCAGAAUCCAAUACCACCAAAAUCUCUUCCUUCCAGUCCUUGUCUGCCCUGAUGUGGAGGUCUAUUACUCGUGCGCGUGGUUUACCCCGAGAUCAAGGAACCAACUGCAGGCAUGUUUCCUUCAAUACAUUCCACUCAGAAUUCCCAAGUAGUUUUCUGUUUCUUGAUAUUUUCAUAAACAUCGAUAUUUAAUACCUUGGUUGCAGGUUGGCUGCGAAUAACAGAGGAAGAUUAGAGCCACCAUUGUCUGGAGAUUAUUUUGGGAACUCAAUUCACCCGAUUAGAUCAGAAAUUGUCCCAGCUGGUGAGUUGCUUGAACAUGGGCUUGGAUGGGCAGCGUGGAAGUUGCACGAAGCGGUAGUUAACCACAAUGACAAGUUGAUAAGGGAACAUGUUGAUGGCUGGCUGAAGUCUCCAGCUGUUUACCAACUGAGUUUCUUCGAUCCAUUCAGUGUGAUGAUGGGGAGUUCACCGAGGUUCAACAUGUAUGGAAAUCAGUUUGGAAUGGGAAAAGCACUAGCGCCUAGAAGUGGUUAUGCAAAUAAGUUUAGUGGGAAAGUGUCAUCGUACGAAGGCCGCGAAGAAGGAAGCAUAGACUUGGAGGUGUGUCUUCCACCUGAUGCAAUGAGUGCUCUUGAAUGUGACAGUGAGUUCAUGGAAGCUGCCUCUUUACCCCUUUAUUAGUGACAAGUGAUCAUAUGAAUAAGAAUCAUGCAAUCUGCACAAUGUUUAAGUAGAGUUGAGAAUAAUAUGAAUAUGCAUAUGCUUAAUUUGGUAGUGGAAUGAUAGAAAGGUGUGUGGAAGGAAGAAUGAGAAAAAAUGGAACAGAAAAAGAAUAUUUCAUUAAAAAGCACUUAGUUCAAAAGAUAUGAAUAAGGUGUAUAUGGAAUUUACACAUUCAACCAAAUCCUUAGCCGUUCAGCCAAAAAUCAUUUGUUAGUAACUUUGUGCUAUUUUAAACAUAAAAAAUAUUGUUAUGACUAACAAGAUAUGACGGAUGAUUGUCACAUUUUUUAUAAUUAUCCACAUAAUAAUAAUAUGGAGGCAAAAGCCAAGGGCGGCCCUAGGUGGUGCAAGUGGCGCCACCGCACAGGACAUCAAAAAAAUAUUCUUUAUAUUAUAUUAUAUUAUAUAUAUAUAUAAAUAUAUUAAUAUUAUAGGAAUUGUAUAUAUAGUAUAGCAUUGUUGUUGCAUUUGUGUUUAAUACAAUAUAAUUUAAUUUGUUAAUGACAUUUGUGUGCAACUACUUUUUAAUUUUUGAUUGCCAAUUUUUUUUCCUAUUAAACACAGAUUGCUUAUUAGAGGCAGCAAGGGACCUUAUAGGGGCACAAAUAGCUUAUUUUUGUACCAAGCAUUUAAUUUUAUCUAAUAGAAACAUUUAAAUUUUUAUGAAUUUGAUUUCUGAUUGUCAUUACAUACUUAUUGAUGGUGACUUUUUAGUUAUAAAAAAAAUUGUUUAUGACAUUAAGUUAUGGAAAAUUUUUAUUUAUAGUAUUUUCGUAUUAGAUUAUGUGAUGCUCCAAUUUAAGUUUCGCACAGGGCUCUCAAAAUCUCAAAGACGACCCUAGCAAAAGCCAAAGUAGCAAGCAUGUGGUUGCUUGGCAUGAGCACAAGAUUAAAACGUUAUGUUUUUAAAUGACAAGAAAAAAAAUGUAAAGAAAUGUUAACAUACCUUGGGUGGACAGAUGCUUGGUGAGGCUUUAUAUCCCCUAGUUGACCAGUUGGAGCACGAGUCAGCAGCUAAGGUGACAGGCAUGCUUUUGGAGAUGGACCAGACUGAAGUUUUGCAUUUGCUCGAGUCGCCGGAGGCUUUGAAGGCCAAAGUGGCAGAGGCCAUGGAGGUCCUGAGAAAUGUUGCCCAACAGCAGGCUAACAGCAGCGCUGAUCAACUAUCUUCAUUGUCUCUGAAUGACAACCUUGUCUCAUAAAUGAGAAGUGUGGCAUCUGGUGUUUCCUCGCUAUGUGGGGAGUCUUUGGCAGAAGUUUUCGUUUGAUGUUGGAGUGAUUGUAGCUUUUUCAAAAUUAGAGACUAGACUUAAUUUCCUCCUGCUCCUGCAUUUUUUGUUUUGUUUUUGGUUUUUGGUUGUGUAGGAUUUUUACCGUUUGUUACAUUUGGCUUGCAUCAUGGAUUCAUGGUUUUGGUUAAGAGUUUUUAUCAAAAAUAGUUAAAAUUUACCUGAUACUUUCAUAAAUGUCCAUUUUGAUAAAAUUUUUCAAAAAUAGUUAAAAACUCACGUAAAUAGACUAAAAUGCCCUCAAAACUUAAACCCACAUAAACCUAACAAGAAAAAGAAAGUGCCCAGUAAAAUGAACUCAAAAUUUAAAGAGGAUAUUCCAAAAUAAAAAUGAAAUCAUUGAAGAAAACUAAAGCUACAUGGAGCAAAACCAACCGCUAAAGGAGACAAGAAAAGGGGGAACCCCCCAAACAAUCAGAAGCAAAGAAAACCUUGCAAUAACUCAAAGGCUCCCAUAGUACAACAAACUGAAGGCAAAGGGCCUAUCAGACCAACGAAGAAUGUAUAGCUACAAAGUGAAGAACUGUGCAACUACAAAAAAAAGAAAUCCUUUUAAAUUUUUGGCUUGUUGAUUCUUUUUUAUUUAUUUAUUUAUUUAUUUAUCUCACUAGUAAAAUUUAAUUAUCCUUACUUGAAUGUUUGUUUACGGAAUCCAUAGAUAAAAUCAACAACUAUAACUUUAUGUAACAUCCCACAUCGAUCAACGGAGAGGGAGUGAUGUGUCUUAUAUGUAUAUGCCCGCCUCUAUCUAGCACGAGGCCUUUUGGGAGCUCACUGGCUUCGGAGUUAUGAGAAUUUCGUAGUUAAGCGAGUUGGGGCUAGAGCAAUCCCAGGAUGGGAGACCCACUAGAAAGUUGCUCAUAAGUUCCCAGAAACAAAACUGUAAGGGCAGAAAGAGGGGCCCAAAACAGACAAUAUCGUGCUACGGCGGAGUCGAUCCCAGGAUGUGACACUUUAAUUAUUGUUUGGCAACCAAGAGUAUGCCACAGUGAUGCACAGUCACCAAAAGAAUUCAAAUAUUUGAAGCUCAACAUUGAGGAGUCUUGCUGCAAGUAACUUGGUGUGCUUGUCUCCUUGCAAAUUUGCUGCACACACGAAGAGUAGAGGUUUGUCAAACAAUUGUUAGAAUAAAGUUUUGCUUUUUAGGUUUAUGUGGGUUUAAGUUUUGAAGGCAUUUGAGUUUAUUUACGUGAGUUUUUGGCUAUUUUUGAUUUUUGAUUUAUUUAUCAAAACUGACAUUUAUAAAAGUAUAGGGUGAAUUUUGGCUAUUUUUCAUAAAAACUCUUUGGUUAAUUUAAUGACUUUAGACAUUUUCUUAAUUAUUUUUUGUUGGUAGUCUUUUCUUAUUUUAGUCUUCUUCUUUUUUCAAAUUUAAAUUUCCCCCAGAUUCUUUUUAGCCUUUAACUAUUUAUCAGAUUCAUUCUGGUUAUAUUCCGAAUUCUAUUACGACUUGUGGAAUGGAUGGGCCUAAAAUAAUGGAAAUGAAUUGGCGAGUCGAAGGGAACUUGGAGGUGUCUUUGGCCGGAAACAAUAAGCGCUCUUGAAUGUGACAAGGAAUUCUGCUUCUUUGUUAGUCUUUUAACCACAUUAUUAACCAAUUUGUAGAAUAAAGUUCGGCAAAUUCUUGGAUGCUGCCAUUGUCCACAAUGUUCAAUUACAGUCAACAAUAUUGAAUUUGAUGAACAGUUCCAUGGUAUUUGUCAUGUUGGUAAGAUUAGAAUUUUAAUUACAAAUGGGAAAUGUUGAUUGAUUAGGUUAUAUAAAGGUGAAUGGGAAAUAAAACAAUUAUUAAAAUCUUAAAGGCACUAAGGGCACUUCCAAAAAACUCUAAGGCACUUUCAGCAGAAGGCCUUUUGUUCAGGCAGGAUAGGGCCUGGCUCACAAAACGGUUUCAAUGCUCAAAGGCAAGCUUGGGCAAUUUGUCCUGCUGCCUGGGCAAGUGAUGUAAUGCUAAUGUCAUAUUGACGUCUAACAAACCAUUUAAAUAACAAAAAAAAUUAAAAAAAGAACCCAAAAAAUCAGAUUUUUGUUAUAUAAAUACCUCAUCAUAUUCUUUACUUCUCACACCAAAACUCUAUACAAAUUCAUUUCCUCAUAUCUCAUGUGAAUAGUGGUUGCCCUUGAGUUGCCAUGACAAUAGGUGGAAACACAACAAGCCUUUUGCAAGGGCAGCCACUAUUCACGUGAAUAGUAACAGCCCUUACCUCCCCUUAGAACACCUCCACCCCAAAAGAUAAGGACAAGGCAAGGGCAGACACUAUUCACAUAAAUAGUGUCAGCCUUGCCUGUUUUGGAUCCACCUCAAAGGGCAAAGAUAAAGGCAAACACUAUUCCCUUUACUUUAUUUUCAAUUUUUUUAUACUUAACUAUUAAUUUUGAUAGCUUUUCGGAUAAUAUUUUCGGUUGCCACAUGUCACUAUUUAUUAUAAAAUUCUCACCUACAAUUUCAGAUAACAUUUUCGAAUUAAAUUUUAAGAUAAGAUUUUCAAUUGCUACGUGUCCAUCAAAUUUUAGAAAAAAAAUUGGGAUGAGAUUCUCGGUUGCCACAUGUCUUAUUUCAGAUAAGAUUUUCGGAUAUUUAUUAUUAAAAAAUUUAUAAUGUCAGAUUGAAGAUAAGAUUUUCACCUUCUAAAAUUGCGCCACGUGUCCCAUGUCAGAUAAGAUUUUUGAUACAAAUGAAAAGUAGUAGAAAAUUGUGAGUCGAAAGUAAAAAAUAUUGGAAGGAGAAGAGUUUGUAUGAAGAUUUGGUGUGGAAUAUUGGAAGAAAAAGAGUUUGUAUGAAGAUUUGGUAUGGAAAGUGAAUAAAAUUGUUAUGUAUUUAUAGGGAAAAAAUCUAGAAUUUUUUGGUAUUUUUUUUAAAAAAAUUUCGAAAUUUUUUCGAAUGUCGUCAGAUUUCUGAAAAAAAAACCAUCGCAUCGUCCAGGAAGCUCCACGUGGCUUUUUCCUGUUGGGUUAUGUCAGGGCUAAUGUCAGCAAGCAAAAGUCAAAUUUUUUUACUGUUGGCGAGUAAAACUCACUUGCCAACAGUAAAAAAAAAAAAUUUGAAUUGCUCUCGCUGACUUCAACUCGACGUCAUCGCUGACGUCACCGCCUUUGGGCUUGAGCCCAAGCAGGAUUUGUCAGUGGGCUUGCCAGGGGUAGUGGGACCUAGGGCUUGCCCGAGCUGGUUUCUUCGCGUUGGAGUCGGAUUUGGGCUGGCGGGGGGGGCCUGUUGCCCUGGUAGGGCCUGCGCGCUGCAUUUGCGCUUACCCUUUACCAUAACAAAUGGGUGAAAGUGCUCUAAAUAACAUAGUUUUAUUAGCCAAACUCGGUCAAGUCAUUUUGAUUGAUUCUAUUUUCCAUGUAAUAGAUUGUUGACUAAUGAGAUAUACUAGAUGGAUGGUUGCAACAAAGGGCGGAGUAAGUCACCUAUGAAAAUUGGGUAAUUAAAAGCAAGAAAGAUAUGACUUUGCUAUCCUUUUGUAGUUUUCUUUGGUUUGGUAAAAGGAAAGCAGCAGGAAAGAGCAUAUACGUAAUAAAAACAAAAAAAAUAUUAUAUUCAAAUUCUUACCUACCCACCUUUACAAAGUUGGACUGGAUGAUAGAUGAUGCAUAUAUUAGUUGGUAGUUGGUACUUUGUUUCCUUGGACCAAUAUGUUCAAAGUUGUGACUGAGUCUUCUCAUCUUUGCAUACUCUACUGGGCCAAAUUAACACUUGCAAUAAACAAUUAUAUAUCCAGGAACUGCAGCCUGCAACGGACCCGUGAUCACCACGUCUUCAACUGCAUAUAAAACCAAAGCAGCUAAGCAGAGAUGGAAAUGUCAAAAAAUUGAAACAGCUCACUGCGAGUCAGUUUUUUUUUUCUUUUUUUUCUUUUCUGUAAAAUGAAUUCCCCAAGUGUCAAAUACAUUUCAGAAUGCUUUGUCCAGCCACACCAUGCCUCAGAAGAAUCAAAGCAGCCCUUCUACUUGACCCCCGGUGAUCUGGCCAUGCUCUCCGUUCACUACAUUCAAAAGGGCCUUCUCUUUUCCAAACCACCAGAAGCAAAACUGGAACAGGAGGAUUUCACCAAUUCUCUGUUGGAGAGGGUCAAACACUCUCUUUCCAUUGCACUUGUUCAUUUCUACCCAUUGGCAGGUCGCUUUGUGACCGAGAAGAACGAAGACCCGCCUUUGUAUUUGGUAUAUGUAGAUUGCAACAACAGCCCUGGAGCCAAAUUCAUAUAUGCAACUCUGGACAUGUCAAUUUCUGACAUUCUUUCACCAACUGACGUGCCUUUGGUGGUUCAAUCGUUUUUUGAUCAUGACAGGGCGGUCAACCAUGAUGGGCACACCAUGUCCUUGCUAACCAUUCAGGUCACAGAGCUGGUAGAUGGCAUUUUUAUAGGGCUUUCCAUGAAUCACUGUCUUGGUGAUGGAACCUCUUACUGGCAUUUCUUCAACAUUUGGUCUGAGAUCUUUCAAGCACAAGCACAAGGAGAUCAUAAUAAUUUUGUACCCAAAAUCUCAAGACCACCAGUCCUCAAGCGCUGGUUUCCAGAUGGUCAUGGCCCAAUUAUCAAUCUCCCUUU
rnacentral:lncRNA from 1 species